GACAGGGGCGGCAAGCGUUGCUCGGAUUUACUGGGCUUAAAGGGCGCGUAGGCGGCUUUAUAAGUGCGAGGUGGAAUUCCACAGUUUAACUGUGGAACUGUCUUGGAAACUAUAAGGCUUGAGGCAGGUAGGGGAGGGCGGAAUUCUCGGUGGAGCGGUGAAAUGCGUAGAUAUCGGGAGGAAGGCCGGUGGCGAAAGCGGCCCACUGGGCCUGUCCUGACGCUGAGGCGCGAAAGCGUAGGGAGCAAACAGG
rnacentral:rRNA from 1 species